UACGUAGGGGGCAAGCGUUGUCCGGAUUUACUGGGCGUAAAGCGCGCGUAGGCGGAGGGAGAAGUCCGGUGUGAAAGCCCACGGCUCAACCGUGGAAGGUCGCUGGAAACUCUUCUUCUUGAGGGCGACAGAGGGAAGUGGAAUUGCUGGUGUAGCGGUGAAAUGCGUAGAUAUCUGGAGGAACACCGGUGGCGAAGGCGGCAUCCUGGACCGGUAUUGACGCUGAGGCGCGAAAGCUAGGGGAGCAAACGGG
rnacentral:rRNA from 1 species